GCGGGGAAAAGCUCAAAUUUAAAAUCUGGCGGUCUUGGCCGUCCGAGUUGUAGUCUGGAGAAGCGUCUUCCGCGCUGGACCGUGUACAAGUCUCUUGGAACAGAGCGUCAUAGAGGGUGAGAAUCCCGUCUUUGACACGGACUACCAGUGCUUUGUGAUGCGCUCUCAAAGAGUCGCGUUGUUUGGGAAUGCAGCGCAAAAUGGGAGGUGAAUUCCUUCUAAAGCUAAAUAUUGGCGAGAGACCGAUAGCGAACAAGUACCGUGAGGGAAAGAUGAAAAGCACUUUGGAAAGAGAGUUAAACAGUACGUGAAAUUGCUGAAAGGGAAACGCUUGAAGUCAGUCGCGUCGUCCGGAACUCAGCCUUGCUUCGGCUUGGUGCACUUUCCGGUUGACGGGCCAGCAUCGAUUUUGACCGCUGGAAAAGGGCUGGAGGAAUGUGGCACCUUCGGGUGUGUUAUAGCCUUCAGUCGCAUACAGCGGUUGGGAUCGAGGAACGCAGCGCGCCUUAUGGCUGGGGUUCGCCCACAUUCGCGCUUAGGAUGCUGGCAUAAUGGCUUUAAACGACCCGUCUUGAAACACGGACCAAGGAGUCUAACAUGCCUGCGAGUGUUUGGGUGGAAAACCCGAGCGCGUAAUGAAAGUGAAAGUUGAGACCUCUGUCGUGGAGGGCAUCGACGCCCGGACCUGAAGUUUUCUGACGGAUCCGCGGUAGAGCAUGUAUGUUGGGACCCGAAAGAUGGUGAACUAUGCCUGAAUAGGGUGAAGCCAGAGGAAACUCUGGUGGAGGCUCGUAGCGAUUCUGACGUGCAAAUCCGAUCGUCAAAUUUGGGUAU
rnacentral:rRNA from 1 species